GAAGAGGGGGGCAGCUGUGUCGGUGAUGCCCAGGCACUGAGAGAGAGGCCAAGGACACGGCAGGGAGGGGCCAUGAGGGCAGGUGACAGGCGGGGGGAAAGAGUAACAAGCUGGAGAAGGCUAUAGGAACGGAUACAGGCGGGGACAGUGACAAAACGGGGCGGGGGAGGGGGUUGCAGAGACGGCAAAGACCAUGGCAGUGAGGGCCUGGGUGAGCUGGUGGGACAGCAAACUGGGGGCCAAAGUAACAACUGGGUGGACUAUACAGGUCGUAAAGCUGCAAGGAUACAAAGCAGCCGGAAGGCUGCGUGGAAGAUGUCACAUGGCUGGGGGCAGGUGAAAGGACACUCAAGGGGGCCAGGGCUCCCAAGGGCGGGAGUCGAUGUGAACCGUGGGAACACGUUGGAAGAAGAACUCGAACGCUGGGAAUAUCGAACAGGUGGGCCUAUGACCCGCCACAGCCUCCGAAUCCCGCUCCCGCCCACCGCGCUCCGCCAGCCCGGCGCCCGGCUCCUGGGCCAGCAGCCCCCCCCAGGACCCCCUAGCUGGACGCCAGAAUGUCUCUGCUGCGCAGGAGGAGCAAGAGGAAGAGCAUACAGCAACCCAGAAGUCCCCUCCUCCGGCACUGGCUCUCUAGCGCCCUCUACUGGCAGAGCUCAGCUGGGCCAGCUACAGGAGGCGUGCUCACAGGGUCCAGCUCUGGCAUCGCGGAGCAGGCCGAGAGGAAUGCACU